CAAUGUCAUGUUUUCAUCUCAAAUAAAGGCAAAGAGAUCUAAGCAAGAUAGAAGAUAAAAUAUCACUUCCUUGCAAAUAUAACAUCGCUAAAUUUUUUCGUAUGUCUCUAUGUCUCUACCAAACAAGUGAUUUGAUCAUUAACACAUUUGAUUAAGAGUGCUCAUAAAUACAUCCCACUUGUAUUUCUUUCCACUCCAAACAAAAUUUUCUUCUACUCCAACUAAUCCUUUUAACAUGUACUGUGUGUUAAUCUUCUCGUAGUUGGGGAACAGGACAAUGAAUGUCAGAUGGAUUUGAGUGCAUGAAAAAUACUGUAUUUCAGUGGUUCACAAUGAAGAAGACACAAGACAGAUGAAACACAACAAACAGAUGGCAAACUGUUAUAAACACAAGAACUAAUGAUAACGAAGGCAGACCUUUAUUCCCAGUAAAAAGAUGGAAUCAAUUUCCUUGAGUCUUGGCUGAUUGAAGCAUUUCAACUAUGAGUGUCUU
rnacentral:lncRNA from 1 species